GGGAGGGAACAACAAUGUAUUUCGGUACGGCACACAUUUGAUCGCAUCUGAUAGGCAUAGGUACAUCAUUUGAGCAGCACAGAACAAUACAGAUCAAUUAGGUAUUUACAGGGGUACAAUGUGUCUAAAUCUCUAAGGUUGUGGACCUGGUGGAGUAUCUCAAGAGGUAAGCCUUAGACAUUCAUCAUGUUUUACAGGUGUGUGUAGUUAUUGGACAUUCGAUUUGGUUUGGAAAUCUCGCUACUGGGGAGAGGAUACGUAUGGGUACCUUCGUU